rnacentral:rRNA from 1 species
AGUGAACGCUGGCGGUAGGCCUAACACAUGCAAGUCGAACGGCAGCACAGUAAGAGCUUGCUCUUACGGGUGGCGAGUGGCGGACGGGUGAGGAAUACAUCGGAAUCUUCUUUUUCGUGGGGGAUAACGUAGGGAAACUUACGCUAAUACCGCAUACGUCCUACGGGUGAAAGCAGGGGAUCUUCGGACCUUGCGCGAUUGAAUGAGCCGAUGUCGGAUUAGCUAGUUGGCGGGGUAAAGGCCCACCAAGGCGACGAUCCGUAGCUGGUCUGAGAGGAUGACCAGCCACACUGGAACUGAGACACGGUCCAGACUCCUACGGGAGGCAGCAGUGGGGAAUAUUGGACAAUGGGCGCAAGCCUGAUCCAGCCAUACCGCGUGGGUGAAGAAGGCCUUCGGGUUGUAAAGCCCUGUUGUUGGGAAAGAAAAGCAGCAGGUUAAUACCCCGCUGUUCUGACGGUACCCAAAGAAUAAGCACCGGCUAACUUCGUG